CUCAUUAUAUAAGUUAUCGUUUAUUUGAUAGUACCUUACUACUUGGAUAACCGUGGUAAUUCUAGAGCUAAUACAUGCUAAAAAUCCCGACUUCGGAAGGGUUGUAUUUAUUAGAUUAAAAACCAAUGCCCUCUGGGCUCUCUGGUGAUUCAUGAUAACUUCUCGAAUCGCAUGGCCUUGCGCCGGCGAUGGCUCAUUCAAAUUUCUUCCCUAUCAACUUUCGAUGUUUGGGUAGUGGCCAAACAUGGUUGCAACGGGUAACGGAGGGUUAGGGCUCGACCCCGGAGAAGGAGCCUGAGAAACGGCUACUACAUCCAAGGAAGGCAGCAGGCGCGCAAAUUACCCAAUCCCGACUCGGGGAGGUAGUGACAAUAAAUACUGAUACAGGGCUCUUUUGGGUCUUGUAAUUGGAAUGAGUACAAUUUAAAUCCCUUAACGAGGAACAAUUGGAGGGCAAGUCUGGUGCCAGCAGCCGCGGUAAUUCCAGCUCCAAUAGCGUAUAUUAAAGUUGUUGUGGUUAAAAAGCUCGUAGUUGAACCUUGGGCCUGGUUGGCCGGUCCGCCUCACCGCGUGUACUGGUCCGGCCGGGCCUUUCCCUCUGUGGAACCCCAUGCCCUUCACUGGGUGUGGCGGGGAAACAGGACUUUUACUUUGAAAAAAUUAGAGUGCUCCAGGCAGGCCUAUGCUCGAAUACAUUAGCAUGGAAUAAUAAAAUAGGACGUGCGGUUCUAUUUUGUUGGUUUCUAGGACCGCCGUAAUGAUUAAUAGGGACAGUCGGGGGCAUCAGUAUUCAAUUGUCAGAGGUGAAAUUCUUGGAUUUAUUGAAGACUAACUACUGCGAAAGCAUUUGCCAAGGAUGUUUUCAUUAAUCAGGAACGAAAGUUAGGGGAUCGAAGACGAUCAGAUACCGUCGUAGUCUUAACCAUAAACUAUGCCGACUAGGGAUCGGACGAUGUUAUUUUUUGACUCGUUCGGCACC
rnacentral:rRNA from 2 species